rnacentral:rRNA from 1 species
AAUGAACGUUGGCGGCAUGGAUUAGGCAUGCAAGUCGAGCGAGAAGUGUAGCAAUACACGGAAAGCGGCGGAAGGGAGAGUAAUACGUGGGAAUCUGCCCUUAGACCUGGGAUAGCAGCGGGAAACUGCUGGUAAUACCAGAUAAUGUCUAUGGACCAAAGGUGUGAUUCCGUCUAGGGAUGAGCCCACGUCCUAUUAGCUAGUUGGUAGGGUAAUGGCCUACCAAGGCGAUGAUGGGUAGCGGGUGUGAGAGCAUGACCCGCCUCACUGGGACUGAGACACUGCCCAGACACCUGCGGGUGGCUGCAGUCGAGAAUCUUCGGCAAUGGGCGCAAGCCUGACCGAGCGAUGCCGCGUGCGGGAUGAAGGCCUUCGGGUUGUAAACCGCUGUCGAGGGGGAGCAACUUCCAUAGAGUUAUCUUUAUGGAUUGAGUGAUCCCUGGAGGAAGGACGGGCUAAGUUCGUGCCAGCCGCCGCUGUAACAC